UUGAUUGAAGCUAAAAUAAGGAAGCUUUUCAUUGUUAAUGGGAAAUAGAAGGGUCCCUCCUUCCAAUCAAG
rnacentral:tRNA from 1 species